rnacentral:rRNA from 1 species
UUGCCUACGGGGCGCAGCAGUGGGGAAUAUUGGACAAUGGGGGGAACCCUGAUCCAGCGACGCCGCGUGAGUGAAGAAGUAUUUCGGUAUGUAAACUUCUAUCAACAGGGAAGAAAAUGACGGUACCUGACUAAGAAGCCCCGGCUAACUACGUGCCAGCAGCCGCGGUAAUACGUAGGGGGCAAGCGUUAUCCGGAUUUACUGGGUGUAAAGGGAGCGUAGGCGGUUUAGCAAGUCAGAAGUGAAAGCCCGGGGCUCAACUCCGGGACUGCUUUUGAAACUGUUGAACUAGAUUGCAGGAGAGG